rnacentral:sRNA from 1 species
UCAUAUGAUGUGAACCGCUGCUCCGAGC